rnacentral:tRNA from 1 species
AUUUUAGUAGCUUACAGUUUAGAGCACGGCACUGAAGAUGCCGGGGAGGCAUAGUUUUGUCCUAGAAUA